rnacentral:rRNA from 1 species
CAGUAGCCGCGGGAACACGAAGGGUGCAAGCGUUAAUCGGAAUUAUUGGGCGUAAAGGGCUCGCAGGCGGUUUCUUAAGUCUGAUGUGAAAGCCCCCGGCUCAACCGGGGAGGGUCAUUGGAAACUGGGAAACUUGAGUGCAGAAGAGGAGAGUGGAAUUCCACGUGUAGCGGUGAAAUGCGUAGAGAUGUGGAGGAACACCAGUGGCGAAGGCGGCCAACUGGUCCGAUACUGACGCUGAGGUGCGAAAGCGUGGGGAGCAAACAGGAUUAGAUACCCGUGUAGUCCCUGUCUCUUAUAC